ACAUUUGGCCAUUAUUCUUAUGACUCACUAAGAAGACCUAAAUAAAUGUUUAGGGAUUUUUAAAAUAAAUUUUAAAUUAGGGAAAAUUUAAUGUUCAGCGAUGGCAGUUCUCCUCUGCUUACUUUAUGGACCGAAUCAGAGAAACGCAAAUCAACACCACAAUGAGAUAUCAUCUCAUCCCAGUUUACACAGCUUUUAUUAAAAUGGCAGAAUAACAGAUGCUAGUGGUGAAGAUAUGGAGAAAGGGGAACCCUUGUACAUUCUUGAUGGGAUAUAAAUUAGUAUGGCCACUACGGAAAACAGUACGUAGUUUCCUCAAAAAAUUAAAUAUAAAACUACCAUAUGAUCCAGCAAUUCCACUACUGGAUAUGUCCCCCUCCCUGUCUCCAUGUGCUCUCAUUGUUCAACUCCCACUUAUGAGUGAGAACAUGUGGUGUUUGGUUUUCCGUCCUUGUGAUAUUUUGCUGAGAAUGAUGGUUUCCAGCUUCAUCCAUGUCCCUGCAAAGGACAUUAACUCAUCCUUUUUUAUGGCUGCAUAGUAUUCCAUGGU
rnacentral:lncRNA from 10 species